rnacentral:lncRNA from 1 species
CAGGGCCCAGUAUAUUUCCGCUUUCAUUACUUCCUCUGUAGAAACAGUGUCAUCCAAAGUUUUCGAUAGCUGUUUGGAUACACUACCAGUAACUGGAGACCAACUUUGAAACCAUUCAGGUAUGUUCAAACUUUUUAAUUUAGUUGAGAGCUUGAUGUGUUUGGAGCUCUUACAGUGGCUUUUCAAUGCAGAUUCUCCCAUGUUUGAAACGUCAAACUCUUUCAGACAAAGGCUGCAUUUAGCCUUUGAAUCGUUACUCCCCCUCACAAGCCAUUUGUUGUACUCUGGUUUUUUCAACC